UGCCAGCCGCCGCGGUAAUACGGAGGGUGCAAGCGUUAAUCGGAAUUACUGGGCGUAAAGCGUGUGUAGGCGGUCUGCUAAGUCGGAUGUGAAAGCCCCGGGCUUAACCUGGGAAUUGCAUUCGAUACUGGUAGACUUGAAUUUGGUAGAGGAAAGUGGAAUUCCGGGUGUAGCGGUGAAAUGCGUAGAUAUCCGGAGGAACAUCAGUGGCGAAGGCGGUGCGCUGGGCCUUAACUGACGCUGAGAUGCGAAGGCGUGGGUAGCGAACGGGAUUAGAUA
rnacentral:rRNA from 1 species